rnacentral:lncRNA from 1 species
CAAUCACGCCCAUGUAAUGAGGUCUCCAUAAAAAUCAAAAAGAACAGAAUUCAGAGAGCUUCCAAGUUGGUGAACACAUGGAGAUAAGGAGAGAGUGACUUGAUAAUAUGAUCUCCAAGAGGGCAUGAAUUUCUUGACCUUGCUCAUGACUAUAUCCCCACCAUCAGAGGAGUGGCUGUGCGUGAAUGGAAGUGCCCAUGUGGAGGGACAGGCCUGGAGGAGGAGAAGGGGCACCUGCUGGGUCGUAACUGGAGGGAGGAUGAGGAAGACAAGCGAAAAGGGUCCUUAGUCUAAGGCUGAGUGUCCACAGAUUUCAUCUGGUGUUGGAGGAAUCAUUCCAUCUGAUGGUCCAGCCCUUCCCAUCAGGAACCUCAGUUUGAAGAAGGGACACAGCUAACCUCAGGGAGACCCCAUCCCCGCCCUACAGAGCCUCCAGAGUGAGUGGAGUGACAUGGUCCCUGCCUUAAGGCCACAGCCAGGGGCAAGGAAAAGUGCUUGGCCUCAGAAGACACCGGCAUGCUAAUGUCUCUAUAAAGUUUGAGAGUACCCAUCUCACACACCCUCAUCCUCGUCCUCACCCUGUCCAAACUUUGGUCUUUAUGAAGACAUGGUAUAAAAAACGAAAUUCGAGACAAAACAAAACAAAAACCCUGACUAACUUCUUAUUCAAGAGCCCUGUCCAAAAUACGGUAGGUGUUUUUCCACCCAUAUAUUAAAUAGUCAGCUGAGGUCUAACCCAGGCUGGGAUUGAAACACUGGUUCUGACACUCCCCGACCUUAUAUCGUUGCAGUGCAAUCUAACUACCACCAACACCAUCUCAUGUUUACUUUGACCCA